CCCGCCACUAUGCUGGUCUGCCUGUGACCUAGUGUAUUCCAGUGGUGAGCUGAGAGCAAACCCCAUCUUAGGAAACAGGGUCUUUCCUUAUGUGACUGAUUCUGUGCCGAUAGACUGGGGACAAAC